GCAUAACGCGAAGAACCUUACCCACCUUUGACAUGUACGGAAUCCUUUAGAGAUAGAGGAGUGCUCGAAAGAGAGCCGUAACACAGGUGCUGCACGGCUGUCGUCAGCUCGUGUCGUGAGAUGUUGAGUUAAGUCCCGCAACGAGCGCAACCCUUACCAUUAGUUGCUACGAAAGGGCACUCUAAUGGGACUGCCGGUGACAAACCGGAGGAAGGUGGGGAUGACGUCAAGUCCUCAUGGCCCUUAUAGGUGGGGCUACACACGUCAUACAAUGGCUGGUACAAAGGGUUGCCAACCCGCGAGGGGGAGCUAAUCCCAUAAAGCCAGUCGUAGUCCGGAUCGCAGUCUGCAACUCGACUGCGUGAAGUCGGAAUCGCUAGUAAUCGUGGAUCAGAAUGUCACGGUGAAUACGUUCCCGGGUCUUGUACACACCG
rnacentral:rRNA from 1 species